CUGGCAGUCAUGGCCAUCCAGAGCCUGCACCCUUGCCCCUCAGAGCUCUGCUGCAGGGCCUGCGUGAGCUUUUACCACUGGGCGAUGGUGGCUGUGACGGGCGGCGUGGGCGUGGCCGCUGCCCUGUGUCUCUGUAGCCUCCUGCUGUGGCCGACCCGCCUGCGACGCUGGGACCGUGAUGCCCGGCCCUGACUCCUGACAGCCUCCUGCACCUGUGCAAGGGAACUGUGGGGACGCACGAGGAUGCCCCCCAGGGCCUUGGGGAAAAGCCCCCACUGCCCCUCACUCUUCUCUGGACCCCCACCCUCCAUCCUCACCCAGCUCCCGGGGGUGGGGUCGGGUGAGGGCAGCAGGGAUGCCCGCCAGGGACUUGCAAGGACCCCCUGGGUUUUGAGGGUGUCCCAUUCUCAACUCUAAUCCAUCCCAGCCCUCUGGAGGAUUUGGGGUGCCCCUCUCGGCAGGGAACAGGAAGUAGGAAUCCCAGAAGGGUCUGGGGGAACCCUAACCCUGAGCUCAGUCCAGUUCACCCCUCACCUCCAGCCUGGGGGUCUCCAGACACUGCCAGGGCCCCCUCAGGACGGCUGGAGCCUGGAGGAGACAGCCACGGGGUGGUGGGCUGGGCCUGGACCCCACCGUGGUGGGCAGCAGGGCUGCCCGGCAGGCUUGGUGGACUCUGCUGGCAGCAAAUAAAGAGAUGACGGC
rnacentral:lncRNA from 1 species